rnacentral:tRNA from 2 species
GCAGUGUUAUCAAUGUUAUACGGAAGUCUCGCCGCACUCAAAAUGCGGUUCCGCAAGGAGUGCUGGUUCGAGUCCGGCCAGGGGCACCA